rnacentral:tRNA from 1 species
GGAGGGCUGUCCGAGCGGCCGAUGGAGCUGGUCUUGAAAACCAGUGGGUAGCAAUGCCUCGUGGGUUCGAAUCCCACGCCCUCCG